rnacentral:lncRNA from 1 species
GAAAGAGGAACCUGUUGAGGAGACAAAAGAAAAUGCUGAUUCUGUUGUUGAUGUUAUUCAGGAACCACCAACUGCAGAAUCUGAGACAGUAAAAAAUGUUGUUAAGGAUGAGAAUGUGAUAGAUGAGCCUGAAACUAAGGACAAUGUUAACACAGAAGAAGCACCAAAGGAGAAAGCCGAGGAGAACGUUGAGAAAGAAGAAGCCAUAGAUGAGAAGAAAGAGGAGGAAGUGAUCACCAAAUCUGAGGCAGAAAUAGAGAAGAGUGAGUAAGGAAAAAUGUGAAGUAUAUGAAAACUGUUUAAGUUUCAUGUGUUGUUGUUGAAUGUGUUUUUGCUGUUACUUGUUUGUUAGUGGUGUAAUAAAAUAG